UACGUAGGGUCCGAGCGUUGUCCGGAAUUAUUGGGCGUAAAGGGCUCGUAGGCGGUUUGUCACGUCGGGAGUGAAAACACGGGGCUUAACCCCGUGCCUGCUUCCGAUACGGGCAGACUAGAGGUAUGCAGGGGAGAACGGAAUUCCUGGUGUAGCGGUGAAAUGCGCAGAUAUCAGGAAGAACACCCGUGGCGAAGGCGGCUCUCUGGGACGGUACUGACGCUGAGACGCGAAAGCGUGGGGAGCAAACAGG
rnacentral:rRNA from 1 species